rnacentral:tRNA from 1 species
GCCAGUUUGGUGUACUGGUAAAGGCACCUGGCUAGAAACCAGGAGAUUGUGAGUUCUAGUCCCGCCUUGGGCA